GAAGAGUGUGAAGGAUAGGUUUUGACACUGUCACACCAAAUUUAUGGUAGAGCUAUUAGCUCCAUACCACAGAGGGAAGUAGUUAGAGAGGAACGUAGCUGUGGAGAAAGAUUUAAGUAUAUUACGUUGAAAUUACAACAUUUCUGGAAGAGGUGGCAAAGUGAGUACCUGACAGAGUUGAGAGAAUUCCAUAAAUGUAAGAGUCAAAAUGCGAGAAAGAGUGUGAAGAAGGGAGAUGUAGUGACAGUGUAUGGAUAGGGAGAAAAACGAGGUAAUUGGAAAUUAGCGAAAGUAGAAGAACUAAUUAUAGGAAAGGACAAGGAAAUUAGAGGAGCCAAAGUAAGAGUUGCAGGGAAGGGUAGACCAGUUUACCUGAAAAGACCGGUCCAGAAACUUUACCCGUUAGAGAUUCAAGCUCGACCGGGUGGGAAAGGGAAGGAAGGGAAUUCCCCUUCAGCUGAGUCAGAAGGUUCCUUGCAUGAUUUGCAUGAGCGUCCAAGACGAGCUGCUGCUGUUAUUUCCAAAGCGAAGACAAGGGCGAUGCUUGAUUCAUAGAUGAAUCCUUUAUGAAUCAAGGUGGGUGGGG